AUGCGUAUUGCGACAUCUAGCAACCACACGCUUCGCCGUCUUUUUCGUCCUUUGUUCACCGAGAGCCGAGAGCAAGUGAGCAGCCAGCAGCAAGCAGCAAGCAAUCAAACAAACCUCUACUGUGCUUGGACGAUUUGGCCUUUCAGUUUUUUUCAGACGUGUCACAUUCGACGUCACGACCACAACGGGGGAAAAACACGCAGAAAGCAACAUGGAGGCGAGGGAUAACGUGACGUUGAUUUGUCCAGAUCCUGUCACAGGAAAGUGUUCUGCUUGGCCAUUGAAAUGAAUUAUCUUCAUGGCAAUUCACGGACGAGGAGGAAAAGAAAGUCAGAGUGCAGCAGCAUUUAAUGAACCUUUCCAUGGAGGCUGUGGAACAGGCAGAUCAAGCUGUGGACCAGGCUAAAUAUCGAGGAAGAUGUGGAGAACAAUGCUGAUGAAGCUUUAACUCUGGAUAUUGACAUUGAUAAUGAAGUUGAUGACUUGAACAUGGGUAGUGAUGACCCAGAUGAGGAUUCUGGCUGUGAUUUUUCUGAAGAGCAACCCCAUUCUGAUGCCAAGAGGAAACUCGCUGAAUGGGCAGCUAAACGAAAUGUGUCUCAUUCAGUGCUGUCAGAGCUACUAGGUAUACUUUUGGAGCUAGGUGUGGAUGUACCUAAGGAUCCCAGAGCACUCCUCAGUACAUUGAAAGAUUGUGAGGUCAAAGAGAUUGGACAGGGACGCUACUACCAUUUUGGACUUGCAAGUACAAUCGUUUCAGAACUGAAAAUGAUGAAUGUUCAUGAACUGACAACAGAUACAUUGACUGUUCGUGUGAAUGUUGAUGGAUUGCCUCUCUCUAGGAGCUCUAAUAUGCAGCUGUGGCCUAUUUUAGGUCAAAUAGUUGAACUACCAAAAUCGAAUGUGUUUAUCAUAGGUGUUUAUGCAGGUCCCUAUAAACCUGAAUCAGUACACGACUACAUGCAUGAUUUUAUACCAGAUUUAAAAGUCAUUAUUACAACUGGUGUAACUUUUAAUGGCAAACUGUACAAUGUACCACUUCUAGAUGCCUUUAUCUGUGACACUUCAGCAAGAGCUUUUUUAAAAUGUGGCAAAGGUCAUGGUGGCUACAGUUCUUGUGAAUGGUGCACACAGUAUGGCACUUAUGUUGAUGGUAGAGUUGUGUUUCCAGACAUGGAUUCUAGCCAAAGGACUAAUUCUCAGUUUGAACAAAUGUCUGAUGAAGACCACCAUCGCUCCAAAUAACCUCUGCAGGGGCUAGGCAUUGGGAUGGUUUCUGAUUUUCCUCUGGACUACAUGCAUUUAGUUAGCUUGGGCAUUGUCCGUAAAUUGAUUGCUCUGUGGUUUAAGGGACCAUUACAUUGUCGGGUUCCAUCUGCUGUUCUAACCACCAUCUCUGAUCACAUGAAGCUGUGUAGACAAAACUUACCACGUAGCUUAGUUUUUAUUAUAUAUAGGACUAGUUUUGCUUUUAUCAAAGAUUGCCCUGUCAACAGUACAAAAACUUCGUGGUUUUGUCAUCUGCUAUGAGAAUACUUUUAUCUCCUCUGUGUAGACAGUACUGUGGUUAUGCCAAAGUUGUUAAAAUGCUUUGUUACCAACUUUGCUAAGAUACAUGGGACUAAAUUUCUGGUUAACAAUACACACAAUCUUUUUCAUUUAGCAGAUGAUGCAGAAAAGUAUGGCCCUCUGGAUUUGGUUUUUAUGUUUUCCAUUUGAGAAUUAUUUGGGACAGUUGAAAAAAAUGGUGAGAAGACCACAGUAUCCUGUGCAACAAAUUGUCAGGCGUGUGUAUGAAAGGCAGUUAUUUCCUCGCAUGUCUCAAGAAAUGCCUGAAGGUGUUGAACUGAAGGAGCUCCGUGCAUCUGGACCAAUGCUGGCAGAGUUUUCCAUGCAUCAGUAUGUUCAAUACAAGAUGUAUAAACACAAAUACAAAAUAAUCUCAACCUCCAGUGGUAGCAAUUGUUUUGAACUUGAGAGCAGAGUUGCAGUUUUGCGGAACAUCAUGCAUUCCAUUGGAGGAACACGUGGUGUAUGAACAGUUUCAGACGGGGGCAUGGUUUUUCAACUACUCCAUUGAUUCGACAUCUUUGGGAAUCCGUUUGCUAUCUAAACUGUCUGGUCAGCUUGCCAGUGCUCCAGUAACAGACUUCACAAAACCACUGUGUGACGAUUGGGGACAGAAUGGACCCAAAUGCAACGCUGAGGGUUUCAAAAGAGGUUUUUUGAGGGAAAAGGCGAACGAGGAGGAACGGGAGGAAAGAAGAGGAAUGGCAGACGUGGACGUGGGGGACCGAGGAGCUGGAGGAGCAGAAAGCGCUUAGGCAGGAGGUUCGAGGGAGGCUGGCGGUCGUGGAGGAGAGGAUGUGGUGGCUGGCGGCCCGGCGGGGAGCUAAGGGGGGAACCGGAGGGCGAGAGGAGGAGGCUGGCAAGCAAGCCCGGCUGGCCGAGCAGGGAGGCAGAGCACAUGACUUGGACACAUGACAGGAUGGCCUCAUUCAGUGUGGUGGAGUUUGUGGAUGAAGCUGACCCUGAUGGCUGCAAAAAGGUGGACAUCAUACCAUCAGUGGUUCAAGGGCACUGACAGGAAAUUAUGCUGGUGGCCACCAGGCUCAUUGCUGAAAGUCACUAAGGCAGUGAAAGAGGACACACCACCAGCCAGUAACUGGAUACUCUGUAAUGUGCGUGUAAUGGGAAAUGCAGGGUUGUCAAAUGGCUGGUGUAGCUGCAGGUUUUCAUUCCAACCAAGCAGGAUCACACCAGACUUAACUCAUUAAUUGAACUGAUCAGUCUUCACACAGUUGAAUAGUUGGAUUAGGCGUGGCCUUGCUUGGUCAUUAUGUCAUUUUGUUUUCCACCCACUUAUGCAGAUGCCAGGGCAAAGCUACAUCAGGCUGAGUAUUCAUCCGACCUGACAGAAAGUAGGUGUUAGUGGGGGGAAUGCAGGUGAAAGUGUAUUUCCUCUAGAAAUAAUAUGGAAGCAGUAGGAAAGGGGUGCCUUAACCUCUCUAGGGCAAGUGCAAAAUUCCUCCAGAGUCAAGUGAGUGGCCAACUAGAAUCAAGUGGACAUUCUGAUUCGGAUGAGGAACUUCCACCCACUCCCCCACACCAACUCCUUGGGCCAGCAGCGAAGAAAAUGACCUGCCGCGUCGUCAGCCCCACUGCCCAGCGAGUCUCCAGCCCCACUGCCCAGCGAGUCGCCAGCCCCACAUGUGAAGCCAUGUUCUAUAAAUUUUAGAAGACGUGAAGGAGACCCAACAGGUUCAUGGUAAGAUGAUAAAUACCCUGCUGAAGAAGCAAGAUGGAUCAGUGGUAGAGGUCCCUGAAGGAGUGGUCUUCCCUCUGAAAACCCAAGCUGACAUUGAGGCUCUUGAUGAGAAGCUGGGAGACCGUAGUCUCAUUGUAAGUCUGAAUCUAUAUAUUAAUUUAGACACUUGUAUCUGAGGUGACUUGCACAUAGGGCUACAAAGUAACAUUUGAUCACAAAUACAUGUAUUGCGUUCAGUGCUUGAAAUGGGCUAGUUUUCUGCCCUCUCCAUAUCAGGUUCUCUGGGCACUACGCAACGCUCAACUGUUCGCGUUCUUGCCUGCCUGCUAAUCUUUGUCAGCGGAGACAAGAGCAAGGAGAAGCUCAGGAGACAGCCAUAGGUGUCAUUUACACUGGGGACGCUGGGGACAAAUCAGAAUAUCUCCAUCACUUUUUGAAAGCAUUUGUUAAAAAUUUUCUGAAAUGUUAAAUAACAAAAUUUCUUUGAGGAAGGUUCAUUUGCACAAUAAAAAACAAAACAUGCAAUGCUAUUUAAAUAUAGAAGAAACAAAUGUGCAUUGUCCAAAAAAAAAAAACUUGUACUAAAAAAAAUUCCUCCAGAGUCAAGUGAGCGGCCAACUAGAAUCAAGUGGACAUUCUGAUUCGGAUGAGGAACUUCCACCCACUCCCCCACACCAACUCCUUGGGCCAGCAGCGAAGAAAAUGACCUGCCGCAUCGCCAGCCCCACUGCCCAGCGGGUCGCCAGCCCCACUGCCCAGCGGGUCGCCAG